AUUGAACGCUGGCGGCAUGCCUUACACAUGCAAGUCGAACGGUAACAGGCCGCAAGGUGCUGACGAGUGGCGAACGGGUGAGUAAUGCAUCGGAACGUGCCCAGUCGUGGGGGAUAACUGCUCGAAAGAGCAGCUAAUACCGCAUACGACCUGAGGGUGAAAGCGGGGGACCGAAAGGCCUCGCGCGAUUGGAGCGGCCGAUGUCAGAUUAGGUAGUUGGUGGGGUAAAGGCCUACCAAGCCGACGAUCUGUAGUUGGUCUGAGAGGACGACCAGCCACACUGGGACUGAGACACGGCCCAGACUCCUACGGGAGGCAGCAGUGGGGAAUUUUGGACAAUGGGGGCAACCCUAAUCCAGCAAUGCCGCGUGCAGGAAGAAGGCCUUCGGGUUGUAAACUGCUUUUGUCAGGGAAGAAAUCCUGUGGGUUAAUACCUCGUGGGGAUGACGGUACCUGAAGAAUAAGCACCGGCUAACUACGUGCCAGCAGCCGCAGUAAGAC
rnacentral:rRNA from 1 species